rnacentral:rRNA from 1 species
CUACGGGGGGCACCAGUGAGGAAUUUUGCGCAAUGGGGGAAACCCUGACGCAGCAACGCCGCGUGAGUGAUGAAGGCUUUCGAGUCGUAAAGCUCUGUCAAGUGGGAAGAACCUACUAAGUGCCAAUACCACUUAGUACUGACGGUACCACUGAAGGAAGCACCGGCUAACUCCGUGCCAGCAGCCGCGGUAAUACGGGGGGUGCAAGCGUUACUCGGAAUUAUUGGGCGUAAAGGGCGCGCAGGCGGCCAGGUAAGUCAGAUGUGAAAGCCCGGGGCUCAACCCCGGAAGUGCAGUUGAAACUACUUGGCUUGAGUAUGGGAGAGGGAAGUGGAAUUCCUGGUGUAGAGGUGAAAUUCGUAGAUAUCAGGAGGAACACCGGUGGCGAAGGCGACUUCCCGGACCAAUACUGACGCUGAGGCGCGAAGGCGUGGGUAGCAAACAGGAUUAGAUACCCGCGUAGUC